AUGCGCAUCUCAGGUCCGGUUUCCUCAACUCACCCUCUUUUUCCUUCCUGGGCAACGAGAUCUGGUAGCCAGAAAUCCAACAUAUCGAUUCUUGAGAUGCAUGCCCGAGGGAUCUUUGACUCUCGUGGGAACCCCACUGUGGAAGUUGACCUCUGCACCUCCAAAGGUCUCCUCCGAGCUGCUGUGCCCAGUGGGGCCUCCACUGGCAUCGAUGAGGCCCUAGAGCUGCGUGACAAUGACAAGACCCGCUACCUGGGCACGGGUGUGAAAAAGGCUGUUGAGCACAUCAAUAAAACUAUUGCAUCUGCCCUGGUUAGCAAGAAACUGAAUGUCGUGGAGCAGGAGAAGAUUGAUAAGCUGAUGAUCGAGAUGGAUGGGACUGAAAACAAAUCCAAGUUCGGAGCGAAUGCCAUCCUGGGAGUGUCUCUCGCAGUGUGCAAGGCCGGCGCCGUGGAGAAGAGGGUGCCCUUGUACCGCCACAUCACCGACCUGGCAGGCAACCCUGAGGUCAUCUUGCCUGUGCCUGCCUUCAACGUGAUCAACGGUGGCUCGCACGCUGGCAAUAAGCUGGCUGUGCAGGAGUUCAUGAUCUUGCCUGUGGGCGCGGCCAGCUUCAAGGAGGCCAUGCACAUCGGGGCCGAGGUCCACCACAACCUGAAGAACGUCAUCAAGGAUAAAUACAGCAAGGACGCCACCAACGUGGGCAAUGAGGGUGGCUUUGCACCCAACAUCCUGGAGAAUAAGGAAGCCCUGGAGUUGCUGAAGACUGCCAUUGGGAAGGCCAGCUACUCGGACAAGGUGGUCAUUGGCAUGGACAUGGCCGCAUCCGAGUUCUUCAGGUCUGGGAAGUACGACCUGGACUUCAAGUCUCCUGACAACCCCAGUAGGUACAUCUCACCCGACCAGCUGGGUGACCUCUACAAGUCCUUCAUCAAGGACUACCCAGUGGUGUCCAUCGAGGACCCCUUCGACCAGGACGACUGGGGCGCCUGGCAGAAGUUCACGGCCAGUGCUGGCAUCCAGGUGGUGAGCGACGACCUCACAGUGACCAACCCCAAGCGUAUCGCCAAGGCCGUGAAUGAGAAGGCCUGCAACUGCCUGCUGUUCAAAGUCAACCAGAUCGGCUCAGUGACUGAGUCCCUGCAGGCAUGCAAGCUGGCGCAGUCCAACGACUGGGGCGUCAUGGUGUCCCACCGGUCCAGGGAGACGGAAGACACCUUCAUUGCUGACCUGGUGGUGGGACUCAGCACUGGGCAGAUUAAGACUGGCGCACCUUGCCCAUCCGAGCGCCUGGCCAAGUACAACCAGAUCCUCAGAAUCGAGGAGGAGCUGGGUAGCAAGGCCAAGUUUGCCAGCCGGAACUUCAGAAACCCCCUGAGCAAAUAGGCCGCAGCAGGCCAGAGCCCGGGCCUCAGGCCCAGGUAGUUAGGUCUCCUCCUGCCACCGCUUCUGUAGAUGCCAUCAGGGCCACCAGGAGCCCAUGACCCCAGCUGUGAUCGUCAUGCUUGUCACCUUGUGUCCCACCACAUCUGGAGCCCUGUGUGCGCCUCAGGCCAGGUUCCCAGUGGUUCUGUUGUGAAAUAAACCCCAGCGC